GGGCCUCGCUUCGGCAGCACAUCUACUGAAACUGGAACGGCACGGAGAAGAUUAGCAUGGCCCCUACGCAAGGAUGACACACAAAUUUUGGAGCAUUCUAUACGUUU